GGGUGGUAAUGCCGGAUGCUCCAGUUGUUCGCAUGGUCUUCUGGGAAAGCUUUCGCGGUAUGGGAUGGGGUCGCGUCCUAUCAGCUUGACGGCGGGGUAACGGCCCACCGUGGCUUCGACGGGUAGCCGGCCUGAGAGGGCGACCGGCCACAUUGGGACUGAGAUACGGCCCAGACUCCUACGGGAGGCAGCAGUGGGGAAUAUUGCACAAUGGGCGCAAGCCUGAUGCAGCGACGCCGCGUGAGGGAUGGAGGCCUUCGGGUUGUAAACCUCUUUUAUCGGGGAGCAAGCGUGAGUGAGUUUACCCGUUGAAUAAGCACCGGCUAACUACGUGCCAGCAGCCGCGGUAAUACGUAGGGUGCAAGCGUUAUCCGGAAUUAUUGGGCGUAAAGGGCUCGUAGGCGGUUCGUCGCGUCCGGUGUGAAAGUCCAUCGCUUAACGGUGGAUCCGCGCCGGGUACGGGCGGGCUUGAGUGCGGUAGGGGAGACUGGAAUUCCCGGUGUAACGGUGGAAUGUGUAGAUAUCGAAAAAAAACACCA
rnacentral:rRNA from 1 species